rnacentral:rRNA from 1 species
ACAGAGGCGGCAAGCGUUGUUCGGAAUUAUUGGGCGUAAAGAGCAUGUAGGCGGCUAUGUAAGUCGGUUGUGAAAGCCUUCCGCUUAACGGAAGAAUGGCGGUCGAAACUGCAUGGCUUGAGUGCGGGAGGGGAGAGUGGAACUUCUGGUGGAGCGGUGAAAUGCGUAGAUAUCAGAAGGAACGCCGGCGGCGAAAGCGACUCUCUGGUCCGAAACUGACGCUGAGUGUGCGAAAGCUAGGGGAGCAAACGGG